rnacentral:rRNA from 1 species
GUCUAUGGCCAUGCCACCCUGAACAAGCCCGAUCCCAUCUGAUCUCGGAAGCUAAGCAGGUUCGGGCCUGGUUAGUACUUGAAUGGGAGACCACCGAGGACGACCAGGUGCUGAAGGCA